rnacentral:lncRNA from 1 species
GGGCACCCGGAUUCCGCCAGGCUGCCCAGACACGCAACUGACCUUGUCAGGUAUCAGAAUGACGAGUGGAAGCAUCAGGAUCGGGGUGAAGAGCAAAAUCGCAAAGGACUUGAACUUGGUCACACAAGUCUUCGCCGAAUCCAUCGCGUGAAAGGGAGACUGACUGGAGGGAGAAAAGAUUGCGAGGCAGCUAGAAGCUUCACGAGCUUAAAAGGGGGACGCGCGGUCCCACCGGAUUGGGGGCGGCUACAACUCCGCCCCCCAUUGCCAGGCCUCCCUGCGGUCCUGGGGCGGAGCCACCCCUCGGGGUCUGUGGGGAGUGUCUGUCCCAGGACUCUGCCACCCCGCGGCAGAGUGAGGCGUUUGCAGAUUUCAGUGCUUGGCACCAGCCCUCUAUGGAGAGGACUGGACCCUGGCACCUCACCACUUGCCAGCCCGUUGGCGCUGCUCUGGUCCUCAGUACCAUGCAGGGUGUGCCGGUCAUUCUGCCAGCUUAAGCGUGAGGACCCUUUGUGUACUCUCACCUGCUCUCUCCUGGACUCCGGAAUGUCCCAGAUGAAAAACACCAGCCUGUAGGAUUCUCAGGCUUCUCUCUCCAAAGCGUUCUCCUUCUCAUCCCUAUCCCGGAGGGGCGUCUCCUAGAGGCGAUGGCCGAGCCCUGCGCCACCGCGGUCUUCUCACCUCCAAGAUCCGCUGGCUUCCUCCUAGCGUUAGCCCGACUCUAGACAUAGAACCCAUUUCCCUCCUCGUGCCGUCUCCUACCCAGCGCACCGUAGGCGCUCUAGAGGGACCGCUAAGGAAGGCGGUCACUGUCCUCGCAGACCGAACGACUUUUACCCUCCAGCGAACGCGCUUGCGCAGGCCGGCCGUCUUUGCCCAGGCGCGGGUAGUUGCUGCCGCCCACUUACCAACCACCUCGCUAGUACCAUUUUAUGGUGGGAGACGGGGCCUUAGAAAAGAGGGGGCAUAAUCCUGCCAACCAUCAUCGAGGCAUUCGUUCAUUCAUUAAUCCUCCCCUUAACAGACCUGUGUGUAGUACCUGCUGUGCUAAGUCCUGUUUGGGACACCAACACAAGAGGGUGCAAUGACAUUAUUGACACUUCGGCCUGCCACCACCACCACCAGGAAAGAACUACUGAAUUCCCCACCUUCUCAGCCUGUGAAUGUCGAAGGCCCUAAAACAGAACACACAUUUGUAUCAAGAUUUUUGACUCUGUUCCUGUGACCUGCCUGUCACCUUGCCCUCAAGUCUGCAACUGCCUUCUUCAGGCCCUCUCUAUUUUCGGUUUGUUUGCUUGUUUGCAUCUAUGUGGCCCUGGGCCCAUCCCUUCCCCCAGGGCAAUUAAAACUAGAGUUCCUGCUUUGGGGUGUGUGUGUGUGUGUGUGUGUGUGUGUGUGUUUCAAGACUCUAUGUGUAUGAGUAUUUUGCAUGCAUAUAUAUGUGUGUAUCAUUUGCAUGUCUGAUAACCCCAGAGUCAGAAGAGAGUGUCAGAGUCCCUGAAACUGAAAUAAUAGACAGUUGGGAACAGCCAUAUGGGUUCUGGGAAAUGAACCCAGGUCCUCUUCCAGCAAGAAGAGUGAGUCCUGCUGUUAACCAUGGAGCCAGCUUUCCAGCCUUUUGGAGUUUUUAUUUAAUCUUCGUUUUAUUUAUCACCAUGUGCCCACUUAACACCCUUUACCAGGCCUCAUUCAGGACGUUCACUCAAAGUCUGGGAUCUACGAUGCUGGUCAACCAUUCUGCUGUAAUUUAAGUGCUUUAAAGUCUAUAAAGUGUGCGCUGCAGCUAAAUGCCUGAAUCCA